UACAGAGGCCCCAAGCAUUAUCCGGAAUCACUGGGCGUAAAGGGUGUCGAGGCGGUCGCGUUAGUCCUCCGUAAAAUCUACGAGCUCAACUUGUAGCCCGCGGGGGAAACGGCGCGACUCGAGGAUGGGAGAGGUCUAUGGAACUCACGGUGUAGGGGUAAAAUCCGUUGAUAUCGUGGGGAACACCAAAGGCGAAGGCAGUAGACUGGCCCAUUCCUGACGCUCACACACGAAAGCUAGGGUAGCGAACGGG
rnacentral:rRNA from 1 species